rnacentral:rRNA from 1 species
UAGUCUGCAACCCGACUACAUGAAGCUGGAAUCGCUAGUAAUCGCAGGUCAGCAUACUGCGGUGAAUACGUUCCCGGGUCUUGUACACACCGCCCGUCANACCAUGGGAGCCGGAAAUGCCCGAAGCCAGUGACCCAACCUUAGGGAGGGGAGCUGUCGAAGGUGGAGCCGGUAACUGGGGUGAAGUCGUAACAAGGUACC